AUUGUAAAUAUAUUCUGCUUCGUAGAAACGAUAUAUUAUAAAUAAAGCAAAAUUUUCAUUAACUAAUAUUCCAAAAUGUUGCAAAUCUCCCGAUGAACUCGUCAACAGGAAAUCUAUAAAAAACAUAAACGAACGCAAUAUGAUUGAAUAGAAAACUACCUGCUCUCUUUCAAUUUCAGUGUAAUCAAUUUCUUCAAUGAACUGUUGCUGAUGGCCGGUUAUUUCUCUGUUCGCCAUCGCACACAGUCCACAUUACAUUGUUAUGAUGGCACAUUUAACCGAUCAAGAAAACUAAUGCACAAAUGUUUACUUAAACUGGCCUCAGACUGCCUUGCCAUUUGCCAUUUUCAAUAUCAGACCUUGUACCAUGGAAUACUAGACAAAAUGAACAGAAACUAAAAUAUAUGCACCACGAUUGUGGCGCUAUCGAGUAGUCAAAAUGAUAACUAUUUAUGAAUAUGAGUUCAAAAAUGAAUUAUUAUUAAAGAAAAAUAUUCCAUAAAUUCUAUCAGUUAUAUAUCUAUAUUGAAUGAUUUAAAAAUCAUAUAAUUCUAUUAAUACGAUACUAAUUAUUGAUUUCUAUUCAUUAAUUUAUCGAUUCUUAAUAAAUUUACUUCAUAAGGAAUAUCUACAUUUACACAUACAUUGUGUUAUUAUACAUACAUUGUAUACAGAUCCAUGCAGAAAUGUAUGCGACGAACAUAACCUCUACAUUAAUUAUUUAUGUUAAGCGUCGAUCAAAAAUUUCUUUGGCUCACGGUCAAUUAUAAUUUGUUAUUAUUACUUUUCUUUUAAUUUGAAAACGUGCGAAAUUGAAAUUAUACUGUAAAAAUAUAUUUUGAGGUAUAUAAAUAUUGGGUUUAAUAUAACAAAAAAGUGUGAUGCUUGUUCUUCGUGGAAUUCAAAAUACAAAUUCCUUUAUUUUACUGGGUGGCCUUCUUCUAUGUCUUGUGUUAACAAUUCAAAUCAAACAAAUUUAUAUCAAUAAUCAAAAAUACAAUCGUUAUUUAGGAUACGAACAAUAUAUCAAUGAAAUAUCCAAAGAAUUGAAGAUGGUUGAAAAGACUGCCAAUAAAUCGUCGAUAUAUGUACAUCAUUUAAAUGAGAUACUUUUUAAACAUCGUGAAAAAGAUAUGAAAAAUGCUUCAUUGUCACGAAUAGCAAAAUUAAUACGAGGAGAAACAAGCUGAAAUAAAUCAACGAGAUGUAAAAAGAUAUUUUUUAAAUAUUUUUGUAUAUUUGUAAAUAUGUAUAUAGAUUAAAUAUAAAAUGUAGAAAUAAACUUUCUAUUUACCACCAGAUCAUAUUAUUUAGGACGUAACAAAAUUAAUGAGUAAAAAAAAAAAGAUCAUAUCUUCUAAUCUAUAUUAUAUAAGGGCAUACACUGUGGAUUAUUUAUAUGAUCACCGGUAUUUUGUAAGACUCCAUGUGGAACACAUAACCAUGGAUCAUUAGUAACAUUCUGCCAAUUGAACAAUUGUUUUUGUAAAUCAAUCACUAUGCCCUAAAAAAAUAUUUUCUGAAUUAAAACUUUUGUUUAAUAAUAUAAA